rnacentral:rRNA from 1 species
AUUCAACUCUGCCGGCCGGCCUAACACAUGCAAGUCGCACGAGUGGCGGACGGGUGAGUAAUGUCUGGGAAACUGCCUGAUGGAGGGGGAUCACUACUGGAAACGGUAGCUAAUACCGCAUACCAUCGGAUGUGCCCAGAUGGGAUUAGCUAGUAGGUGGGGUAAAGGCUCACCUAGGCGACCAUCCCUAGCUGGUCUGAGAGGAUGACCAGCAACACUGGAACGGAGACACGGUCCAGACUCCGACGGGAGGAAGCAGGGGGGAAUAUUGCACAAUGGGCGCAAGCCUGAUGCAGUCAUGCCGCGUGUAUGAAGAAGGCCUUCGGGUUGUAAAGUACUUGCAGCGGGGAGGCGUUACCCGAAGAAGAAGCACCGGCUAACUCCGUGACAGCAGCCGCGGUAAUAC